rnacentral:rRNA from 1 species
CCUACGGGUGGCAGCAGUGAGGAAUAUUGGUCAAUGGGCGCGAGCCUGAACCAGCCAAGUCGCGUGAGGGAAGACGGUCCUAUGGAUUGUAAACCUCUUUUGUCGGGGAGCAAAAGACGCCACGCGUGGCGUUCCGAGAGUACCCGAAGAAAAAGCAUCGGCUAACUCCGUGCCAGCAGCCGCGGUAAUACGGAGGAUGCGCGCGUUCUCCGGAUUUAUUGGGUUUAAAGGGUGCGCAGGCGGAAGAUCAAGGCAGCGGUAAAAUUGAGAGGCUCAACCUCUUCGAGCCGUUGAAACUGGUUGUCUUGAGUGAGUGAGAAGUAUGCGGAAUGCGUGGUGUAGCGGUGAAAUGCAUAGAUAUCACGCAGAACUCCGAUUGCGAAGGCAGCAUACCGGCGCUCAACUGACGCUCAUGCACGAAAGUGUGGGUAUCGAACAGGAUUAGAUACCCUUGUAGUC